rnacentral:rRNA from 1 species
UACGGAAGGGGCAAGCGUUGUUCGGAAUCAUUGGGCGUAAAGGGCGCGUAGGUGGUUCUGUAUGUCUACCGUGAAAGCGUACGGCUCAACCGUAUUUUGUCGGUGGAAACUGCAGGACUUGAGGCUGGGAGGGGCUGGUGGAAUUCCCUGUGUAGCGGUGAAAUGCGUAGAGAUGGGGGAGAACACUUCGUGGCGAAGGCGGCCAGCUAGACCAGUUCUGACACUGAGGCGCGACAGCGUGGGGAGCAAACAGG